AGGGAUAUAACUUAGUGAUAGAGUAUCACCUUGACGUGGUGGAAGUCAUUAGUUCGAGCUUGAUUAUUUCUA
rfam:Gossypium raimondii Chr05_contig_224, whole genome shotgun sequence.